rnacentral:rRNA from 1 species
UACGGAGGGUGCAAGCGUUGUUCGGAAUUACUGGGCGUAAAGCGCGUGUAGGCGGUCGCUUAAGUCUGAUGUGAAAUCCCGGAGCUCACCUCCGGAAGUGCAUUGGAAACUGAGCGACUAGAGUGCCGGAGAGGAGGGUGGAAUUCCUGGUGUAGCGGUGAAAUGCGUAGAUAUCAGGAGGAACACCGGUGGCGAAGGCGGCCCUCUGGACGGAUACUGACGCUGAGACGCGAAAGCGUGGGGAGCAAACAGG